rnacentral:rRNA from 1 species
UUGACCUCAAAUCAAGCAAGAUUACCCGCUGAACUUAAGCAUAUCAAUAAGCGGAGGAAAAGAAACUAACAAGGAUUCCCCUAGUAACUGCGAGUGAAGCGGGAAAAGCUCAAAUUUAAAAUCUGGCAGUGGUUCACUGCCCGAGUUGUAAUCUAGAGAAGUGUUGCUCACACUGGACCAUGUUAUAAGUCUUCUUGGAAAUGAAAGCGUCAUAGAGGGUGAGAAUCCCCGUCUUUGACAUGGGACUCCCAGUGUAUUUGUAGUAUGCUCUCAAAGAGUCGAGUUGUUUGGGAAUGCAGCUCUAAAUGGGUGGUAACCUCCAUCUAAAGCUAAAUAUUGG